UGCGUAGGCGGUUUAUUAAGUCAGAUGUGAAAGCCCGGGCUUAACCUGGGAACUGCAUUUGAUACUGGUAGACUAGAGUAUGGUAGAGGGGGGUAGAAUUCCUAGUGUAGCGGUGAAAUGCGUAGAUAUUAGGAGGAAUACCAGUGGCGAAGGCGGCCCCCUGGACCAAUACUGACGCUGAGGUACGAAAGCGUGGGUAGCGAACA
rnacentral:rRNA from 1 species